CCUACGGGUGGCAGCAGUGAGGAAUAUUGGUCAAUGGACGAGAGUCUGAACCAGCCAAGUAGCGUGAAGGAUGACUGCCCUAUGGGUUGUAAACUUCUUUUAUAUGGGAAUAAAAUGUUCCACGUGUGGGAUUUUGUAUGUACCAUAUGAAUAAGGAUCGGCUAACUCCGUGCCAGCAGCCGCGGUAAUACGGAGGAUCCGAGCGUUAUCCGGAUUUAUUGGGUUUAAGGGGAGCGUAGGUGGAUUGUUAAGUCAGUUGUGAAAGUUUGUGGCUCAACCGUAAAAUUGCAGUUGAAACUGGCAGUCUUGAGUACAGUAGAGGUAGGCGGAAUUCGUGGUGUAGCGGUGAAAUGCUUAGAUAUCACGAAGAACUCCGAUUGCGAAGGCAGUUCACUAGACUGCAACUGACACUGAGGCUCGAAAGUGUGGGUAUCAAACAGGAUUAGAUACCCUAGUAGUC
rnacentral:rRNA from 1 species